AAUUUAUUUCAAAGCUGCAAGUUACAUAAUGAUCACACACGAGUUUAAAUAUAUUACAAAGCUUCAAGGACAGUUCAUACGGGGGCAAACAAA